rnacentral:rRNA from 1 species
UACGAAGGGGGCUAGCGUUGUUCGGAAUCACUGGGCGUAAAGGGCGCGUAGGCGGCUUUAUAAGUCGGGGGGUGAAAGCCUGUGGCUCAACCACAGAAUUGCCUUCGAUACUGUAGAGCUUGAGACCGGAAGAGGUAAGUGGAACUGCGAGUGUAGAGGUGAAAUUCGUAGAUAUUCGCAAGAACAUCAGUGGCGAAGGCGGCUUACUGGUCCGGUUCUGACGCUGAGGCGCGAAAGCGUGGGGAGCAAACAGG